GAUCCAGCGAUGAUCCAAUUCUAUGAUCCAGCCUGAUUUGUCUUGUAACACUUUAGUUGCACCUGAAAAUCUACCGACAUUCAAUCUGCAAUACAUUCAGUGUCAUGUAAAAUAAUCUCAGUUCCCAAGGAAUUUGUGGUCAGAGGGGGCAACACUGGGCCAAAGUGAUUGUACCCUUGGCCUAGAGGAUGGUUAUGAAGCACAGACGUUGUGACUUGUUUGCUGUCAUGGAGUGAGGGCAGAACCUCCCGACUCAGUAUCAGUGAAUAAAGUUCUUGGUUUGUUGUUUGUUU